CAGAAAAAGCUUUCAACAGUGCCUGUACCGCUGAUGUAGAGUGCCAGACAUCUUUUUCCAAGUGCCUCAAUCAGGAAUGUACAUGUGAGACUCCCAGUUUCUAUGACACUCAGACUGAUACUUGUGUUCAAAAGAAAGCCUUUCACAGUGCUUGUACCGCUGAUCUAGAGUGCCAGACGACUGGAGCAAAGUGCCUCAACCAGAAAUGUACCUGUGAGGCUACACGUUUCUAUGACUCACAGACUGACACUUGCCUACAAAAAAAAACUUUCAACAGUGCUUGUACCGCUGAUGUAGAGUGCCAGACAUCUUUUUCCAAGUGCCUCAAUCAGAAAUGUGCAUGUGAGACUACGAGUUUCUAUUAUUCUCAGGCUGAUACUUGUUUGCAAAAGAAAUCCUUUAACACGGCUUGUACCGCUGACUUAGAGUGCCAAACGACUGGUGCAACGUGCCUCAACCAGAAAUGUAUAUGUGAGGCUACACGUUUUCAUGACUCACAGACUGACACUUGCCUAUCAA